GCGGCGGACGGGUGAGUAACACGUGGGCAACCUGCCCUGCAGACUGGGAUAACUUCCGGAAACCGGAGCUAAUACCGGAUAACACCGAAAACCGCAUGGUUUUCGGUUGAAAGGCGGCUUUUAUCUGUCACUGCAGGAUGGGCCCGCGGCGCAUUAGCUAGUUGGUGAGGUAACGGCUCACCAAGGCGACGAUGCGUAGCCGACCUGAGAGGGUGACCGGCCACACUGGGACUGAGACACGGCCCAGACUCCUACGGGAGGCAGCAGUAGGGAAUCUUCCGCAAUGGACGAAAGUCUGACGGAGCAACGCCGCGUGAGCGAAGAAGGUCUUCGGAUCGUAAAGCUCUGUUGUCAGGGAAGAACAAGUGCCGUUCGAACAGGGCGGUACCUUGACGGUACCUGACGAGGAAGCCACGGCUAACUACGUGCCAGCAGCCGCGGUAAUAC
rnacentral:rRNA from 1 species